GGAAUUUAAUUGAAAUUGAUUUUGUGAAAAAGGGGUGAAAAUUUGAAUUCUGGGGGUGUUUUUGAAAAGAAAAUUGAAAAUCAGGGGUCAAAAUGUAAUUUAGAAAAAUAGUGCCAUGUUAGCAGCCCGACCAACCAAGACACGCCGCGUGGCAGGGACGCUGACGCGGGAAGCCACGGGGGGCAGAGACACGUGGGCGACCCAUGUGCGCGCGAUCGGACGGCCCAGAUCCGUUCCCGCGCACACGGAAAGCCCAGAUCAAAAGCGCGCAUGGAUGGCCCAAAUCUCACGCUUGUGGAUGGCCCAAAUCUCACGCUUGUGGACGGCCCAAAUCUCACACUUGUGGACGGCCCAAAUUUGAUCACGCACGGACAACCCAGAUCGCAUCGUGAUGGACGGCCCAGAUUUAUUUCUAAUUUAAUCGCGAUCGGACGGUCCAGAUUAAAUCAUGAUGGCCGGCUCAGAUUAAUAAGAGAAGGUUAUAAAUAAUCGCAUCCAUACCCAACCCCAAACCCUAGCCACCAGAACCCUCGCCAGAGAAGACGACCCAGCCACCGGAGGAACCGGCCGCCACCACCCGCCGCCGCACCAAAGGAUUUUCCAGCCGCCAAACGAGGUAAAAUUUCUCCCC
rnacentral:lncRNA from 1 species